rnacentral:rRNA from 1 species
GACGAACGCUGGCGGCGUGCUUAACACAUGCAAGUCAGGGGGGUGCAGCAAUGCAUCACCGGCGAACGGGUGCGUAACACGUGAGCGACCUACCCAGGGGGAGGGGGAUAGCCGGCCCAACGGCCGGGUAAUACCGCAUACGCUUCUUUCGCUGCAUGGCGAGGGAAGGAAACCUUCGGGACCCAUGGAGGGGCUCGCGGCCUAUCAGCUAGUUGGUGAGGUAACGGCUCACCAAGGCGAUGACGGGUAGCUGGUCUGAGAGGAUGGCCAGCCACAUUGGGACUGAGAUACGGCCAGACUCCUACGGGAGGCAGCAGUGGGGAAUAUUGGACAAUGGGCGCAAGCCUGAUCCAGCGAUGCCGCGUGUGUGAAGAAGGCCUGCGGGUUGUAAAGCACUUUCAGUAGGGAAG